rnacentral:lncRNA from 1 species
GGAGAAGCCUAAUGUCCACCCAGUUAGGAUGUUGGGACUACACAAACAACCUUAAUCAAUUAAUUUAUGUGGAGAUGGCUAGCAACUACCAACCUACAAUACAUAGGUUGUUAAUAUAGAGUGGUGUGGAACAUCGAAACAUGUUCCUCACAUAAACAUAAUCUCAUUUCAUGUAUCUGAUUCACUUCUCAACCCACCCUCCUAAUCCAUUUUCGUUGUACUCUCCUCUAUUCAUUAUUGAAAAGC